rnacentral:rRNA from 1 species
GACGAAGGAUGCAAGCGUUAUCCGGAUUCAUUGGGUUUAAAGGGUGCGUAGGCGGACUUGUAAGUCAGUGGUGAAAUCUCUUAGCUUAACUGAGAAACUGCCAUUGAUACUGCAGGUCUAGAGUAUAGAUGACGUUGGCGGAAUAUGACAUGUAGUGGUGAAAUACUUAGAUAUGUCAUAGAACACCGAUUGCGAAGGCAGCUAACGAAACUAUAACUGACGCUGAGGCACGAAAGUGCGGGGAUCAAACAGG